GACGAACGCUGGCGGCGUGCCUAAUACAUGCAAGUUGAGCGCUGAAGGUUGGUACUUGUACCGACUGGAUGAGCAGCGAACGGGUGAGUAACGCGUGGGGAAUCUGCCUUUGAGCGGGGGACAACAUCGGGAAACGAAUGCUAAUACCGCAUAAAAACUUUAAACACAAGUUUUAAGUUUGAAAGAUGCAAUUGCAUCACUCAAAGAUGAUCCCGAGUUGUAUUAGCGAGUUGGUUAGGGAAAGGCUUACCAAGGCGAUGAUGCGUAGCCGACCUGAGAGGGUGAUCGGACACACGGGAACUGAGACACGGUCCAGAAUCCUACGGGAGGCAGCAGUAGGGAAGCUUCCGCAAGGGGCGAAAGCCUGACGGAGCAACGCAGCGUGAGUGAUGAAGGUCUUCGGAUCGUAAAACUCUGUUAUUAGGGAAGAAGAAAUGUGUAAGUAACUAUGCACGUCUUGACGGUACCUAAUCAGAAAGCCACGGCUAACUACGUG
rnacentral:rRNA from 1 species